rnacentral:tRNA from 1 species
GUGCAUGUAACUCAGCAGUAGAGUGUGUGCUUAGCAUGUAUGAGGUCCUGGGUUCAAUCCCCAGUACAUAUG